rnacentral:rRNA from 1 species
UACGUAGGGUCCGAGCGUUGCCCGGAAUUAUUGGGCGUAAAGAGCUUGUAGGCGGUUUGUCGCGUCUGCUGUGAAAAUCCGGGGCUCAACCCCGGACUUGCAGUGGGUACGGGCAGACUAGAGUGUGGUAGGGGAGACUGGAAUUCCUGGUGUAGCGGUGGAAUGCGCAGAUAUCAGGAGGAACACCGAUGGCGAAGGCAGGUCUCUGGGCCACUACUGACGCUGAGAAGCGAAAGCAUGGGGAGCGAACAGG